CGCCCUACGGGGGGCAGCAGUGGGGAAUAUUGGGCAAUGGGCGCAAGCCUGACCCAGCAACGCCGCGUGUGGGAAGACGGUCCUCUGGAUUGUAAACCACUGUCCCCAGGGACGAAGAUGACGGUACCUGGGGAGGAAGCUCCGGCUAACUACGUGCCAGCAGCCGCGGUAAUACGUAGGGAGCGAGCGUUGUCCGGAAUUACUGGGUGUAAAGGGAGCGUAGGCGGGACUGCAAGUUGGGUGUCAAAUCUACCGGCUCAACCGGUAGCCGCACUCAAAACUGCAGUUCUUGAGUGAAGUAGAGG
rnacentral:rRNA from 1 species